GACGAACGCUGGCGGCGUGCUUAACACAUGCAAGUCGAGCGGUAAGGCCCUUUCGGGGGUACACGAGCGGCGAACGGGUGAGUAACACGUGGGUGACCUGCCCUCAGCUCUGGGAUAAGCCUGGGAAACCGGGUCUAAUACUGGAUAUGACUCCAUGACGCAUGUUGUGGGGUGGAAAGCCUUGUGCGGCUGAGGAUGGGCCCGCGGCCUAUCAGCUUGUUGGUGGGGNGAUGGCCUACCAAGGCGACGACGGGUAGCCGGCCUGAGAGGGCGACCGGCCACACUGGGACUGAGAUACGGCCCAGACUCCUACGGGAGGCAGCAGUAGGGAAUAUUGCGCAAUGGACGAAAGUCUGACGCAGCAACGCCGCGUGAGCGAUGGAGGUCUUCGGAUCGUAAAGCUCUGUCAGCGGGACGAACCGUCUCGUGUCGAAUAGGCACGAGGCCUGACGGUACCCGCAGA
rnacentral:rRNA from 1 species